GCUAAACGCGAAGAACCUUACCAAGGCUUGACAUACACCAGAACACCCUAGAAAUAGGGGACUCUUUGGACACUGGUGAACAGGUGGUGCAUGGUUGUCGUCAGCUCGUGUCGUGGGAUGUUGGGUUAAGUCCCGCAACGAGCGCAACCCUCGUUCUAUGUUGCCAGCACGUAAUGGUGGGAACUCAUGGGAUACUGCCGGGGUCAACUCGGAGGAAGGUGGGGAUGACGUCAAAUCAUCAUGCCCCUUAUGUCUUGGGCUUCACGCAUGCUACAAUGGCCGGUACAAAGGGCUGCAAUACCGUGAGGUGGAGCGAAUCCCAAAAAGCCGGUCCCAGUUCGGAUUGAGGUCUGCAACUCGACCUCAUGAAGUCGGAGUCGCUAGUAAUCGCAGAUCAGCAACGCUGCGGUGAAUACGUUCCCGGGUCUUGUACACACCG
rnacentral:rRNA from 1 species